UAGGGAAUCUUCGGCGAUGGACGGAAGUCUGACCGAGCAACGCCGCGUGAGUGAAGAAGGUUUUCGGAUCGUAAAGCUCUGUUGUAAGAGAAGAACGAGUGUGAGAGUGGAAAGUUCACACUGUGACGGUAUCUUACCAGAAAGGGACGGCUAACUACGUGCCAGCAGCCGCGGUAAUACGUAGGUCCCGAGCGUUAUCCGGAUUUAUUGGGCGUAAAGCGAGCGCAGGCGGUUAGAUAAGUCUGAAGUUAAAGGCUGUGGCUUAACCAUAGUACGCUUUGGAAACUGUUUAACUUGAGUGCAGAAGGGGAGAGUGGAAUUCCAUGUGUAGCGGUGAAAUGCGUAGAUAUAUGGAGGAACACCGGUGGCGAAAGCGGCUCUCUGGUCUGUAACUGACGCUGAGGCUCGAAAGCGUGGGGAGCAAACAGGAUUAGAUACCCUGGUAGUCCACGCCGUAAACGAUGAGUGCUAGGUGUUGGGUCCUUUCCGGGACUCAGUGCCGCAGCUAACGCAUUAAGCACUCCGCCUGGGGAGUACGACCGCAAGGUUG
rnacentral:rRNA from 1 species